CUGGAAAGUCAAUACAGAUAAGUUCAACGUGUUCUAACGGAACAUUGUUGAAAGAAAGUCUAAACCUUCUUCCUUGUAUUGAAGGUUUCACAGCGACUGGGCUUUACAAUAGCACAGAUGCCUGCAUUACGUGCAAACACACUAGUUUUAAACAGUCCAAGGGAAUGAGCAUAAUACAUGGUGGGACACGAAAUCAUAUUGAAACGUGCUGGUGGAAUAAAACAUCAAUGCGAACGCAUUGUCACCAACAAUCAAAUGGACAUCCAGAUGGAAUAGGCUGCUAUAUUACACCUUACAAACCGGGUACUUUUUACUAUUGCGAGCUAGAUGGUCAAAAAGUUGAGGUGAUUAUGCAGGAGAUAAUAACCACUACUAAAGAUUCCAUAUCAAUUCCACAUAAAAAUGAUACAGACAGUAACGGGGUUAAUCCUCCAGUCCAUGGACUUUACCAUAAAUUUAUUCCAUGUUUUAUUUUCCUUCUAAUUUCGAAUGCUCUAUUAACUUAAUCUUUAUCCAGUCUUUUAUGAGAGUAAAACAUGUAGGGGUCCCCAUCCCUGAUGGUACCGAAGCACAGUGAUACGUACAGUUGUGCUACAGUAUAUGAAGUCGCCUCGGUUUAGUGAUGCAACAACGAUGCAAUGAAACAAACGCAGACGAUAAAAUCAACAUUACAAUUUACAACGAAAUGGACAUCAGUAACGCAAUACUUUGAGGAUUGUAUGGAAAGAGACAUUUUUUAAACGCAUUCGGCAAUUUGUUAUAUCAAAUUUCUAUUUAU